GAUGAGGAACGUAGCGAAAUGCGAUAAGUAAUGUGAAUUGCAGAAUUCAGUGAAUCAUCGAAUCUUUGAACGCACCUUGCGCCCCUUGGCAUUCCGAGGGGCACGCCUGUUUGAGUGUCGUGAACUCCUCCACCCUCCACCUUUUUCGAAAGGCGUUGGGCUGGGAUUUGGGAGCUUGCGGGUCCCUGGCCGAUCCGCUCUCCUUGAAUACAUUAGCGAAGCCCUUGCGGCCUUGGUGUGAUAGUCAUCUACGCCUCGGUUUAGCGAACAUACGGGAAUCGCUUCCAACCGUCUCGCAAGAGACAAUCACUUCAAACUUGACCUCAAAUCAGGCGGGACUACCCGCUGAACUUAAGCAUAUCAAUAAGCGGAGGA
rnacentral:misc_RNA from 1 species